rnacentral:rRNA from 1 species
GACGAACGCUGGCGGCGUGCUUAACACAUGCAAGUCGAACGGAAAGGCCCUGCUUUUGUGGGGUGCUCGAGUGGCGAAAGGGUGAGUAACACGUGAGUAACCUGCCCUUGACUUUGGGAUAACUUCAGGAAACUGGGGCUAAUACCGGAUAGGAGCUCCUGCUGCAUGGUGGGGGUUGGAAAGUUUCGGCGGUUGGGGAUGGACUCGCGGCGUAUCAGCUUGUUGGUGGGGUAGUGGCUUACCAAGGCUUUGACGGGUAGCCGGCCUGGGAGGGUGACCGGCCACAUUGGGACUGAGAUACGGCCCAGACUCCUACGGGAGGCAGCAGUGGGGAAUAUUGCACAAUGGGCGGAAGCCUGAUGCAGCAACGCCGCGUGCGGGAUGACGGCCUUCGGGUUGUAAACCGCUUUCGCCUGUGACGAAGCGUGAGUGACGGUAAUGGGUAAAGAAGCACCGGCUAACUACGUG